UACGGAGGGGGCGAGCGUUAUUCGGAAUUAUUGGGCGUAAAGGGCGCGUAGGCGGCUUUCUAAGUCAAAGGUGAAAUCCCUCGGCUCAACUGAGGAACUGCCUUUGAAACUGGACGGCUUGAGGCCGGGAGAGGGUAGCGGAAUUCCCAGUGUAGCGGUGAAAUGCGCAGAUAUCAGGAGGAACACCGGUGGCGAAGGCGGGUCUCUGGGCCGAUACUGACGCUGAGGAGCGAAAGCGUGGGGAGCAAACAGG
rnacentral:rRNA from 1 species